AGUGAACGCUGGCGGUAGGCCUAACACAUGCAAGUCGAACGGCAGCACAGUAAGAGCUUGCUCUUACGGGUGGCGAGUGGCGGACGGGUGAGGAAUACAUCGUAAUCUACUUUUUCGUGGGGGAUAACGUAGGGAAACUUACGCUAAUACCGCAUACGACCUACGGGUGAAAGCAGGGGAUCUUCGGACCUUGCACGAUUGAAUGAGCCGAUGUCGGAUUAGCUAGUUGGCGGGGUAAAGGCCCACCAAGGCGACGAUCCGUAGCUGGUCUGAGAGGAUGAUCAGCCACACUGGAACUGAGACACGGUCCAGACUCCUACGGGAGGCAGCAGUGGGGAAUAUUGGACAAUGGGCGGAAGCCUGAUACAGCCAUACCGAGUGGGUGAAGAAGGCCUUCGGGUUGUAAAGCCCUUUUGUUGGGAAAGAAAAGCAGCAGGUUAAUACCCCGCUGUUCUGACGGUACCCAAAGAAUAAGCACCGGCUAACUUCGUG
rnacentral:rRNA from 1 species